rnacentral:rRNA from 1 species
AUACGGAGGAUCCGAGCGUUAUCCGGAUUUAUUGGGUUUAAAGGGUGCGUAGGUGGUUUGAUAAGUCAGCGGUGAAAGUUUGCAGCUUAACUGUAAAAAUGCCGUUGAAACUGUCGGACUUGAGUGUAAAUGAGGUAGGCGGAAUGCGUGGUGUAGCGGUGAAAUGCAUAGAUAUCACGCAGAACUCCGAUUGCGAAGGCAGCUUACUAAGCUACAACUGACACUGAAGCACGAAAGCGUGGGGAUCAAACAGGAUUAGAUACCCUGGUAGUCCACGCAGUAAACGAUGAUUACUAGCUGUUUGCGGUACACAGUAAGCGGCACAGCGAAAGCGUUAAGUAAUCCACCUGGGGAGUACGCCGGCAACGGUGAAACUCAAAGGAAUUGACGGGG